rnacentral:rRNA from 1 species
ACACUUUGCCUUUGUCUUUUGACAUCAUGGUCCUUUUGAUCUCAUCUGAUCUCGGAAGCUAAGCAGGGUCACGCCUGGUUAGUACUUGGAUGCAAGACCGCCUGGGAAUACCAGGUGCUGUAAGCU